rnacentral:rRNA from 1 species
UACGUAGGUCCCGAGCGUUGUCCGGAUUUAUUGGGCGUAAAGCGAGCGCAGGUGGUUUAAUAAGUCUGAUGUAAAAGGCAGUGGCUCAACCAUUGUGUGCAUUGGAAACUGUCUGGCUUGAGUUCCGGAGAGGAGGGGGGAAUUCCCGGUGUAGCGGUGAAAUGCGUAGAUAUCGGGAGGAAUACCGGUGGCGAAGGCGCCCCUCUGGACUGUAACUGACACUGAGGCUCGAAAGCGUGGGUAGCAAACAGG